UACGUAGGGUGCAAGCGUUGUCCGGAAUUAUUGGGCGUAAAGAGCUCGUAGGCGGUCUGUUGCGUCGGCUGUGAAAACUCAGGGCUUAACCCUGAGCCUGCUUCCGAUACGGGCAGACUAGAGGUAUGCAGGGGAGAACGGAAUUCCUGGUGUAGCGGUGAAAUGCGCAGAUAUCAGGAGGAACACCGGUGGCGAAGGCGGUUCUCUGGGCAUUACCUGACGCUGAGGAGCGAAAGUGUGGGGAGCGAACAGG
rnacentral:rRNA from 1 species